AUUGAACGCUGGCGGCAGGCUUAACACAUGCAAGUCGAGCGAGCGGCGGACGGGUGAGUAAUGUCUGGGAAACUGCCUGAUGGAGGGGGAUAACUACUGGAAACGGUAGCUAAUACCGAAUACCAUCAUAUGUGCCCUGAUGGGAUGAGCUAGUUGGUGGGGUAAUGGCUCACCUAGGCGACCAUCCCUAGCUGGUCUGAGAGGAUGACCAGCCACACUGGAACUGAGACACGGUCCAGACUCCUACGGGAGGCAGCAGUGGGGAAUAUUGCACAAGGGGCGAAAGCCUGAUGCAGCCAUGCGGCGGGUGUGAAGAAGGCCUUCGGGUUGUAAAGCACUUUCAGCGAGGAGGCGUUACUCGCAGAAGAAGCACCGGCUAACUCCGUGCCAGCAGCCGCGGUAAUUC
rnacentral:rRNA from 1 species